UAGGGAAUCUUCCGCAAUGGGCGAAAGCUUGACGGAGCAACGCCGCGUGAGUGAUGAAGGUCUUCGGAUCGUAAAACUCUGUUAUUAGGGAAGAACAAAUGUGUAAGUAACUAUGCACGUCUUGACGGUACCUAAUCAGAAAGCCACGGCUAACUACGUGCCAGCAGCCGCGGUAAUACGUAGGUGGCAAGCGUUAUCCGGAAUUAUUGGGCGUAAAGCGCGCGUAGGCGGUUUUUUAAGUCUGAUGUGAAAGCCCACGGCUCAACCGUGGGGGGUCAUUGGAGACUGGAAAACUUGAGUGCAGAAGAGGAAAGUGGAAUUCCAUGUGUGGCAGUGGAAUGCGCAGAGAUAUGGAGGAACACCAGUGGCGAAGGCGACUUUCUGGUCUGUAACUGACGCUGAUGUGCGAAAGCGUGGGGAUCAAACAGG
rnacentral:rRNA from 1 species